UACGGCCUACGGGAGGCAGCAGUCGGGAAUAUUGCGCAAUGGAGGAAACUCUGACGCAGUGACGCCGCGUAUAGGAAGAAGGUUUUCGGAUUGUAAACUAUUGUCGUGAGGGAAGAAAUUGACAGUACCUCAGGAGGAAGCUCCGGCUAACUAUGUGCCAGCAGCCGCGGUAAUACAUAGGGAGCGAGCGUUAUCCGGAUUCAUUGGGCGUAAAGCGCGCGUAGGCGGCGCGUCAAGCGGGACCUCUAACCCCGGGGCUCAACCCCGGGCCGGGUCCCGGACUGGCGCGCUCGAGUGCGGUAGAG
rnacentral:rRNA from 1 species